AGUGAACGCUGGCGGUAGGCCUAACACAUGCAAGUCGAACGGCAGCACAGUAAGAGCUUGCUCUUACGGGUGGCGAGUGGCGGACGGGUGAGGAAUACAUCGGAAUCUACUUUUUCGUGGGGGAUAACGUAGGGAAACUUACUCUAAUACCGCAUACGACCUACGGGUGAAAGCAGUGGAUCUUCGGACCUUGCGGGAUUGAAUGAGCCGAUGUCGGAUUGGCUAGUUGGCGGGGUAAAGGCCCACCAAGGGGACGAUCCGUAGCUGGUCUGAGAGGAUGAUCAGCCACACUGGAACUGAGACACGGUCCAGACUCCUACGGGAGGCAGCAGUGGGGAAUAUUGGACAAUGGGCGCAAGCCUGAUCCAGCCAUACCGAGUGGGUGAAGAAGGCCUUCGGGUUGUAAAGCCCUUUUGUUGGGAAAGAAAAGCAGCAGGUUAAUACCCCGCUGUUCUGACGGUAACCAAAGAAUAAGCACCGGCUAACUUCGUG
rnacentral:rRNA from 1 species